GAGACAAUCGGUUGAGUGAGGACCUGCUCUGUGGAUUUCAAAUUGAAUGCUGUGAGUUCUUGAUUCCAGCAAUUUCUUGGUCUCGGCAGCAACAAUCCUCUUGUCCCAAUAGCCACAGUAGCUGUGGAAUUGAGGACUCUGAUUCGAGACGGGCGUCUCGAC